AUGGAGCUAAGGAACGCUGCCUCCACCUCAGCAGAGGCACUUCUUCUGAGCAUGGACAUGGCGUACUCCAUCACCAUGGCGUCACAGGGCAGCUUGAUCCCUCCUUCACUGCCUGCGAAACCAAACACCUCUUCAGACAUCCGCAGGAGCUCACUGAAGACCACCGUGCUGAGUGUUGAGCACUCUUCGACUUCUGUUGUUGCCGUCAUGGUAAAGCGCUUCCUCCCGAGAGCUGCUACCCUCUGCCACUUCUUUGCUAGUUGA
rnacentral:rRNA from 1 species